CUUUUGUGUAGUUCUUUAUGACAUAAAAUAAUUUUAGAACUAGUAUUAGUUUUUGAUGAUGUGAAUAUUGUUGAAAAUCUAAUUGUUUUCUUUAGAUUAAAUGAAUUAUAUGAUAUGUUUGGCAUAUGUUUUCGGUACAUGAUAUGUGCUAGAUUAUUGCUAGUUGACUAUUUUAUUUUGCCAUGUUAGUUAUCAUGUUAAGAUAGCUAUAUUCUUGUAUGAUAUGCUAAUGUGAAUAUGAAUUGUUGAAUUUUUAAAAUUCGUUUCUAUGAAAUAUUUAUCUUUUCUUGUGUUUAUUUGAUUCUUAAUUUUGAGAUUUAGAGAAGAUAUAUGUUUCUUGAAUGUCUAUGUGAAAUGCUAUGUUUUGUUUUUGGGCAAUUUUAUAUAGAUGUUCAUGUUUUGUAUUUCGUAGUUUACCCCUUGUGUUCGACAUGUGAGUAAACACUGUCGAUACUAGUUUCUUUCGUGGGAGCUAGUUAGAGAACCGUAGAAGUGUCCAGUUAGGUAUGAGAGUUGAGAAUUACGAUAGGAGUUAUAAGUGGGUUUGAGAUAAGUGGGGGAGAAGGUUAAAUUCCUUUGAGAUGUUUAAGUGUAGAAGAAUAAGAUAGAUAGAGAUGUCCGAAGGAGAGCGUUCGUGUGUUGGUGUUGUCCAUUUCAGAGUUAGAUGAUUUGGAAGAACAGUUAGAAGACCGCUGGAGAAGAAGUUUGUAGGAUCGAUUGUUUUGCCAUGAAGAGCGCCAAUGUUGUUAAGUAAGAAGAGACGAGGAAUUAUGAGAAAAUCGGCGGAGAUUAGUAAGAUCAAAUUCAUUAUGUUUGGAAUAAUGAAGAAAGGUGUAGAGUAAAGUGUAGUAUGUGAUGAGAAAAUAAAGGAUUUCAGAUAUUGUAAUCGUGAGUAGUUGAACAAUAUUGAAGUAAUACAACUUAAGAGAUGUUUGGAUAUAAGUAUCUCGACAAAGGAAGUGAUAUUGGAAACUGUGAUGAAAGAUGGACAUGGAGUAAUGAUUUGGAAACAAGGUAAUGAUGUUGGAAUUCGACUUAAGAAAUUGAGUUUGGUGUGAUAGGAAUAAUUGUGUCGUUAAUGACGUAGUUUCGAUGUUCAUUAAUGGGAUUUAGAACUAGAUAUUGUGCUGAAAAACUUAAGACUGUGGUUUGGAUAAGAAUUGAACAUGGACGUAUUCAGAUUAAAAGAACUAAGAGACUAAAAGGAAAAAGAAGGAACCUGUGAAAACUUGUAAAGUUGUGAAGUUAUCAACAGAGAUGAGAUUUUUUCGGAGUACGUGAAAUGGAUUGAGUGGUACUUGUUGUGGAAUGUUACUUUUCGGAUGUUUCGUGCUUAUGAAAGCCCUAUUGUAGUUUGGUAAAGAUGGUUUAUGCCAUCAUCAUGAUUAUUGGCUAUUUAUUGACAAAUUGAGGAACUGGCCGUCCUUGAUCUCUUGUUAAUAAGUAUACGAAAAUCGUGUUGAUUGGAUGAGACUAAUUUUGUCAAACUCUGGUAGUGUCUAGAGUUUUGAGUGUUUUGUUGAAAAAUCAAAUGGAGGAGUCUUAUCUGAAGUUGUUUUAGCCGGACAAUUUUCGAGGGCGAAAAUUCUUUAAGUGGGGGAGAGUUGUAACAUCCCGAUUUUAUUAAUAGGUCAUUUAUUAAUUUAUUUGUGUUUAUCUAAUUAUGUGGCGUAUAACUUUCGUAAGUUAGUAUUUAUGAGUUUUAACCGGUUUUAAUUAAUUAGUGGGUUUAUGUGAAUUGGGCCUAGAGGGUGAUGAGAUGAGUAGAAUGAGGGGGUGCUAAUUGGAAAACAAUAGAAACCCUUUGUAUUAAGCAAACUCUAUCUAUUAAAUAAAAAUCAUUUGUCAUAAAAAUAAAAAUAAAAACAAAGAAAAGAAAAGACUAGAAGAGAAAGGAAGAACGUGAGAUUGAAAGAAAAAGAGGAAGAACAAAAGCUUAGGGAUUGAAGAAGAAGACUAAAGAAUCCAUCAUAGCUAAGGUUCUCAGGUUGUAUGUUUGUUGGUGUUCGCGUUGAUGGUGAAAGCUCUGCUCUGAUUGUGACACGGGGAAGGGUUCAUAGAGUCUUUAUUUGUUGUUGUUUUAUUUAAAUUAAAUGUGUAUAUUGUAUAAAAGGAAUUUUGCACAAGUGAUAUUUACUACUCAAUUUUAUUA